AGCGAACGCUGGCGGCGUACUUAACACAUGCAAGUCGAACGGGGAUCGUCGGGUUAGCAAUAAUUCGGCGGUCCUAGUGGCGCACGGGUGAGUAACACGUGGGUAACCUGCCCUUGAGUU
rnacentral:rRNA from 1 species